UACGUAGGGGGCUAGCGUUGUCCGGAUUUAUUGGGCGUAAAGAGCGUGUAGGCGGCCAGGUAGGUCUGCUGUGAAAACUCGAGGCUCAACCUCGAGAUGUCGGCGGAAACCAUCUGGCUAGAGUCCGGAAGAGGAGAGUGGAAUUCCUGGUGUAGCGGUGGAAUGCGCAGAUAUCAGGAGGAACACCGGUGGCGAAGGCGGGUCUCUGGGCAGUAACUGACGCUGAGAAGCGAAAGCGUGGGGAGCGAACAGG
rnacentral:rRNA from 1 species